GUGGGGAAUAUUGGACAAUGGGCGCAAGCCUGAUCCAGCCAUGCCGCGUGAGUGAUGAAGGCCUUAGGGUUGUAAAGCUCUUUCAGUAGGGAAGAUAAUGACGGUACCUACAGAAGAAGCCCCGGCUAACUUCGUGCCAGCAGCCGCGGUAAUACGAAGGGGGCUAGCGUUGUUCGGAUUUACUGGGCGUAAAGCGCACGUAGGCGGAUUGGUCAGUUAGAGGUGAAAUCCCGAAGCUCAACUUCGGAACUGCCUUUAAUACUGCCAGUCUCGAGUCCGGAAGAGGUGAGUGGAACUCCUAGUGUAGAGGUGGAAUUCGUAGAUAUUAGGAAGAACACCAGUGGCGAAGGCGGCGCACUGGUCCGGUACUGACGCUGAGGUGCGAAAGCGUGGGGAGCAAACAGGAUUAGAUACCCCGGUAGUCC
rnacentral:rRNA from 1 species